rnacentral:rRNA from 1 species
GACGAACGCUGGCGGCGUGCCUAAUACAUGCAAGUAGAACGCACAGUUUAUACCGUAGCUUGCUACACCAUAGAUUGUGAGUUGCGAACGGGUGAGUAACGCGUAGGUAACCUGCCUGGUAGCGGGGGAUAACUAUUGGAAACGAUAGCUAAUACCGCAUAAUAUUAAUUAUUGCAUGAUAAUUAAUUGAAAGGUGCAAUUGCACCACUACCAGAUGGACCUGCGUUGUAUUAGCUAGUAGGUGAGGUAACGGCUCACCUAGGCGAGGAUACAUAGCCGACCUGAGAGGGUGAUCGGCCACACUGGGACUGAGACACGGCCCAGACUCCUACGGGAGGCAGCAGUAGGGAAUCUUCGGCAAUGGACGAAAGUCUGACCGAGCAACGCCGCGUGAGUGAAGAAGGUUUUCGGAUCGUAAAGCUCUGUUGUAAGAGAAGAACGGGUGUGAGAGUGGAAAGUUCACACUGUGACGGUAUCUUACCAGAAAGGGACGGCUAACUACGUG